CUCCGCCACGCCGGCCCCCGCCCCGACUCGGGCGGCGGGAAAGAACCUCCAUUUCGCUCAAAAUCCAGCGUUUCCCCUCAGGCGGCUGUAACCGGCCUCGGGCGAGCCGCCCCUCGGAACGGGUCCCGGCCGGGGGGCAGCUGCGAGCGCCCGACGGGGCCGUCCGGGCUGAGGCGCCCCCCGGCCCGCCACAGCCCUCAGCCUCCUCUCACAGGUCGAGUCUUCCCCCUUUCAGAGAAUCCGCUUUAGAAUUUCAAUCACCUCUGUAUCUUUUAUUUAUUUAUUUUUUAUUCAGCUCCUGCACGGAAACAGGAGCUGAAAUAGCAAAUUGAUAACCCCCCUGAAAUAAAACAGCAUGCAUACCAAGAGACAGCUUGUGCUAACUGUGGUGCCAAGACUGUAUUUGGUCGAGUUUAUCUAAAGCAAGCAGACCUCCCUCCUGCCAGCGAUACAUCAGCGAGUUUGAACCUGUCAGCACUAAUUCCUGUCACCGGGAUCAUCGGGAUCACCAAGACCCCCGAGCCAGGCUGAAGCAAGGCAAAGGCAAGGCCACAGGCAGAAAUCCAAGUCAGAGUACUCCUGGAAGACCUGCUGGUGCUGUAUUGCCAUACGGUGCCUUAGCAACCUUAGAGAGCGGACCACUGCACUCCCUCCCAUCACAUCCCACUGCAUCUGACUGCUAAUAAGCAAAGCACCAACUGAAAAGAAAUGAUUUAUACAUAAGAUCAGCCGUGAACUCCAGUUCAGACUAAGAACCCCACUGUGGCAGGCUUAAAACCAACCGAGAUGCAGCAAAACUCUCAAGCACCGCAUCAACCACGCAGCAACAACAACAAGGAGCAGCAGCAGCAGGCUGGGAGGCUGAAGCAGAUGAAGGUGACAGAAACAUGGACAAAGCGUAGGUAGGAAGCACCAGCCUCACAAAAACCAUCUAAUCAAUAUCCUGCGCUUUCUAAAGGCUUGCAGUUUAGCAGUGGAUGAAAGAAGACAUUUCAAACAACAUUCACUGUGAACAGUACUUGCUAUUGGAUUGGAUCUCACUCCAGACAACGUUUUACCAGUCCAUCCCAGUAGCGCCAGUGGGGGUGCACCGGAGUUUAUGAGAGCGCAGGCCCUAACCAUCCCACGUACCUUAUCCGUUCGAGCACACCGCUGAAAAGACAUUUUCUUCAUAUCUUCCCCGUGGUUUUCUGGGAUGCAGCCUGACUGAACGAGGGCAGAUACCAAGUCAUCUUCAAUUGUCUUGAACUGUGAAGAUCCCACGUUUCUCUAAAAGAAGAUAUAUAGUAAAAAUAAGAAGUAGAAGAAAUAGGAAUAACUGGAUAACUGAGGAUUAUAACUGAAAAACUUAAAAUCGAACAAUGUUAUGAAAUUCUUUAAGUCUUCCCUUCACAGCCCUAAAAGCACUGUCAUUCUAUAACAAAACUGACUAUAUUUUACCAGAGUGUUAAUAAACAUCUAUUAUAUUUA